rnacentral:rRNA from 1 species
GACGAACGCUGGCGGCGUGCUUAACACAUGCAAGUCGAACGGUGAUGCUCCAGCUUGCUGGAGUGGAUCAGUGGCGAACGGGUGAGUAACACGUGAGCAACCUGCCCCAGACUCUGGAAUAAGCGCUGGAAACGGCGUCUAAUACUGGAUACGAAACUGGCCCGCAUGGGCAUGGUUUGGAAAGUUUUUCGGUUUGGGAUGGGCUCGCGGCCUAUCAGCUUGUUGGUGAGGUAAUGGCUCACCAAGGCGACGACGGGUAGCCGGCCUGGGAGGGCGACCGGCCACCCUGGGACUGAGACACGGACCAGACUCCUACGGGAGGCAGCAGUGGGGAAUAUUGCACAAUGGGCGAAAGCCUGAUGCAGCGACGCCGCGUGAGUGAUGACGGCCUUCGGGUUGUAAACCUCUUUCAGCAGGGAAGAAGCGAAAGUGACGGUACCUGCAGAAGAAGCACCGGCUAACUACGUG